AGAAAAAAAAUGGUGUUUUAAAUGGAAAGACUACGGAAAAAAAGACCCUUGAAAGCGUCAUUUAAAAGGCUCCUGGGGAACGGAAUAGUUUCCAUGAAACAAAACUGCGAUUGUUUGGAAGAGCUCUGCCUGUGGGAGUUUGUCCUCAAGCCUUCAGGAUCUCCUAGGAGGGGUCGAGUGAGGUGCCAGGAGGGAUGUGGUCCCUGAGGGCUGUGGUGUCCUCUUCCUGCCCUCCAACCCCCAGGAGGCAUCGCUCCCCCUUAAAAGAAUUGAGCCGGAGUCACCACCUGACUGUGGCCUGCACCUUGCUGCUUUCCUCACCUCCGGGACACCCUCUGCCCAGCCCUGGACAGACCACCCUCAUUCUGGUUGGAGAACAGUGGAUUCAAUGGUUGAAAUGCCUGAUGCAGACAGGACUGAAGAUAGUUUGGAAGGAACAAAAUCAAUGCAGAGAAGGCUUCCUGGAGGAGGUGACCUUGAGCUCAGAAAUCCAUUCCUGGCCCUGAACUGAAUGCAAUGA